AGCUCCAAUAGCGUAUAUUAAUGUUGUUGCAGUUAAAAAGCUCGUAGUUGGAUUUCUGAUCGGUUCGGUUAUCCGGGUCCGCAAGGAUCCGUGUGUAUCGUAACCUGUCAUCCUCAGGGGGAGACUUCACUGGCAUUCAGUUGUCGGUGUGUCGACGCCUGUCGUUUACUGUGAACAAAUUAGAGUGUUCAAAGCAAGGUGUUCUUGAAUACAUUAGCAUGGAAUAAUAAGAUAGGACUCUGUCGGUUCUUUUUGAUAUUUUGUUGGUUUGCACGCCAGAGUAAUGAUUAAUAGGAGCAGUUGGGGGUAUUCGUAUUCAAUUGUCAGAGGUGAAAUUCUUGGAUUUAUAGAAGACGAACUACUGCGAAAGCAUUUACCAAGGAUGUUUUCA
rnacentral:rRNA from 1 species